rnacentral:rRNA from 1 species
GUAGGUGGCAAGCGUUGUCCGGAAUUAUUGGGGCGUAAAGCGCGCGCAGGCGGUUCUUUAAGUCUGAUGUGAAAGCCCACGGGCUCAACCGUGGAGGGUCAUUGGAAACUGGAGAACUUGAGUACAGAAGAGGAAAGCGGAAUUCCACGUGUAGCGGUGAAAUGCGUAGAGAUGUGGAGGAACACCAGUGGCGAAGGCGGCUUUCUGGUCUGUAACUGACGCUGAGGCGCGAAAGCGUGGGGAGCAAACAGGAUCAGAUACCCUGGUAGUCCACGCCGUAAACGAUGAGUGCUAAGUGUUAGGGGGUUUCCGCCCCUUAGUGCUGCAGCUAACGCAUUAAGCACUCCGCCUGGGGAGUACGGCCGCAAGGCUG